rnacentral:lncRNA from 1 species
UCUACGAGAAGAGGAACAGAGGAGGAACUGCAUCAAGGAGAAAGAGGAAGAGGAAGUUUGCCAAGAAUGGUACUUCGCAUCUUCGAAGGAGUUUGAACCCCCGUGCAAGUUUCAACUUUGCGAGACGUAUAUAAACGUGGAUGCUACAAGCGGGGGGGGGCUGGAUGGAAGGAAUGAGUGUGUAUGGAACACCACCCACCACCCCCCAACGAGAUUCCACAUAGGUAUUUCUGCUUUUCCAUCGUUUCUCGCUUACUUACUUACACAUAUAUAUGUAUAUAAAUACACAAACACACAUACGCGUAUGCUUUUCUACGUUUCUAUGUUCACAGGUGUAUUUGUAAAACGAGAAGGAGAAAGGGAAGAAGGGGAAGAAGAAGAAGAA